GGGUAAACCUGCGAAACUCGAAUGAACGAACGGAGAGAUUCAUCGUCAAUCCGCGGCGUGCGCGACGCGCGCUUCGAUGUCGCCGGCCUCGGCCUGGUGGCACGACGCGCGUCCGUCUAUGUCCGCGGACGGCGUGCACUUCUCUCUCAGUAAAUACAUCGCGACCCGUUCGAUGUCGGUCUAAGCGCCGUUCGGGAGCCCCAUCGGACCCUCUAAACGGGGUCCGGUUGGACCGCGACGGUUUGCCGACCGGCCGUCGGACGGUAGUUCUGACGAAACGCGCACGCGUUUAUAACGCGUCCGGCCCGACGCAAGUCAACGUCGUAUCCAGCGUACCGCCUAAGCGCGGACGCAGGUGCGGCGCGUCUGUUGUCGCCGCCGUGCAGUCUCGGACCGUGCGCGUCUCUGUCUGCGAUGAUUCAGUUUCGGGCACUCGCAGGACCCGUCUUGAAACACGGACCAAGGAGUCUAGCAUGUAUGCGAGUCAUUGAGACAUUUUAAACUGAAAGGCGCAACGAAAGUGAAGGCGCGCGCUCGCCGCGCGCUCAGGGAGGAUGGAGCGUCGGUCUAGGUCGAUCUCUCGCACUCCCGAGGCGUCUCGUUUCCAAUCCGUGAAUGUAGGCGCGCUCUGAGCAUAAAUGCUGGGACCCGAAAGAUG
rnacentral:rRNA from 1 species